rnacentral:lncRNA from 1 species
GGAUACGCGGGAUCUUUUGCCGGGCCUGUCUUCGAGCCUCUGGAUCUCCCGAUUCUUAAACCCUACCACGUUGACUUCCUUUACAAAAGUUGUAGUACACAGACCAAGGUCCAACUUUUGUAAUUUGACCGAGUUCAAAAUCAUGGUGGAUUUGGAGAUUCAAAACUCCAAAGUUUGGAGGAACACCGGUUUUAAGGACUUAGAGAAAAACGGCGGCUUUGACUGGUUUUCAGGGUUCUGGGC